GAUUAACGCGAAGAACCUUACCUCCCUUGACAUCCUAGGAAUCUGGCAGAGAUGCUGGAGUGCCGAAAGGAACCUAGAGACAGGUGCUGCAUGGCUGUCGUCAGCUCGUGUUGUGAGAUGUUGGGUUAAGUCCCGUAACGAGCGCAACCCUUAUCCUUAGUUGCCAACAUGUAAUGGUGGGGACUCUAAGGAGACUGCCGGUGAUGAACCGGAGGAAGGCGGGGACGACGUCAAGUCAUCAUGGCCUUUAUGGGUAGGGCUACACACGUGCUACAAUGGGGCGUACAGAGGGAAGCCAACUCGCGAGAGGGAGCCGAUCCAGAAAGCGUCUCGUAGUCCGGAUUGGAGUCUGCAACUCGACUCCAUGGAGUCGGAAUCGCUAGUAAUCGCGA
rnacentral:rRNA from 1 species